rnacentral:rRNA from 1 species
AGAGUUUGAUCCUGGCUCAGAACGAACGUUGGCGGCGUGGAUAAGGCAUGCAAGUCGAACGAUCUUUUUAGAUCUUGAGGCCGCAAGGCCAAGAGAUUUGAUUUGAUAGUGGCAAAAGGGUGAGUAACACGUGGGUAAUUUACCUUCGAGCUUGGGACAACAUUCCGAAAGGGAUGCUAAUACCAAAUAAGACCACGUCCAUUUCGGUGGAUGAGGUCAAAGGUGGGGACCGUAAGGCCCAUCACUUGAAGAUGAGCCCGCGUCCUAUCAGCUUGUUGGCGGGGUAAUGGCCCACCAAGGCAACGACGGGUAGCUGGUCUGAGAGGAUGGUCAGCCACACUGGGACUGAGACACUGCCCAGACUCCUACGGGAGGCUGCAGUCGAGAAUCUUUCGCAAUGGGCGCAAGCCUGACGAUGCGACGCCGCGUGAGCGAUGAAGGCCUUCGGGUCGUAAAGCUCUGUCACGUGGGACGAACGUCCUGAUAGCUAAUAGCUUGAUGGGUUGACGGUACCACGAGAGGAAGCCACGGCUAACUCCGUGCCAGCAGCCGCGGUAAUACGGAGGUGGCGAACGUUGUUCGGAUUCAUUGGGUGUAAAGGGUAUGUAGGUGGCCUAGCAAGUCGGAUGUGAAAUCCUUUGGCUUAACCAAAGAACUGCAUUCGAAACUGCAUGGCUUGAGUUUGGGAGAGGAGAGUGGAAUUCCCGGUGUAAGAGUGAAAUCUGUAGAUAUCGGGAGGAACACCAGUGGCGAAAGCGACUCUCUGGCCCAAAACUGACACUGAAAUACGAAAGCUAGGGGAGCAAACAGGAUUAGAUACCCUGGUAGUCCUAGCCGUAAACGAUGAGCACUAGGUGUGGGGUCCAUAGGGCUCUGUGCCGAAGUUAACACAUUAAGUGCUCCACCUGGGGACUACGACCGCAAGGUUGAAACUCAAAGAAAUUGACGGGGACCCGCACAAGCGGUGGAGUAUGUGGUUUAAUACGACGCUACGCGUGGAACCUUACCAGGGCUUGAAAAGUGCAUGAAAGUCCGCCGAAAGGCGGAUCCUCCUUUCCGGGACAUGCAUACAGGUGUUGCAUGGCUGUCGUCAGCUCGUGUCGUGAGAUGUUGGGUUAAGUCCCGCAACGAGCGCAACCAUUAUCUUUAGUUGCCAUCAGUUCGGCUGGGCACUCUAGAGAGACUGCCGGCGAUAAGCUGGAGGAAGAUGGAGAUGACGUCAAGUCAGUACGGCCCUUAUGUCCUGGGCUACACACGUGCUACAAUGGCCGGUACAAUGGGUUGCAAGACCGCAAGGUGGAGCUAAUCCUAAAAGCCGGUCUCAGUUCGGAUUGAGGGCUGCAACUCGCCCUCAUGAAGCUGGAAUCGCUAGUAAUGGCACAUCAGCCACGGUGCCGUGAAUACGUUCCCGGGUCUUGUACACACCGCCCGUCAAGUCACCUGAGUUAACUGCACCCGAAGUCACUGACCUAACCUGCAAGGGAAGGAAGUGCCGAAGGUGUGGUUGGCAAGGAGGACUAAGUCGUAACAAGGUAACC